rnacentral:sRNA from 1 species
UCUGCAGCCCGACUUGAACGGAAAUCCUUUUUUGCGGCUGGUAAAGCUUAGGCAAAAAGAUUGGGAGCGGAAGGCGGAAAAGCUG